UCACAGGCCUGCAGUGAUUCCGACGACUCACAGGAAAGCAGUCCAGCUUGUUUGGCCAGUUCUUGGGUUAUUGGACAGUCAUCAAUAGCUUUGAAGCCACUGAAGUCUCCUCUGGUGCCCUGAAGCUUCAUUACUUCCGCGAAAUUCAGAGAGAGUGUUCGUGAUCAUGCAACAGAUACACCCACAGCCAGUGAGUUUCAAAGCCAAAGGAAAACAACAGGCCUUUGAUUAGGCUGUACCUACUCCAGUGCAGGAGGGCACUGCAGCAGCUGGGGGAGCCUGGCUGCACCACCUCUUUUCAUUCUCCAGAGAGUGACAAUCUUGCAGUGAAGAAUAAUUCAAUGGAAAUUCAGAGCUGUGUCCCCAACCACCAACCAUCAGGAAGCACAGAUGCUCAGACAUUUGCUAUGACUUCUACCCAAAGGCAAGGUAAAAUGUCAUUGCCAAGGAUUACAUUCAAAUGACCUGUAACAUGGUUUUCUGGUGGAGGGAAGAACUGAAGGAAAUACUAGUUCAUCAGAGAAUGCUGA